rnacentral:rRNA from 1 species
UACGUAGGGUGCAAGCGUUGUCCGGAAUUAUUGGGCGUAAAGAGCUCGUAGGCGGUCUGUCGCGUCGGCUGUGAAAAACCCGGAGCUCAACUCCGGGCCUGCAGUCGAUACGGGCAAACUGGAGUACUGCAGGGGAGACUGGAAUUCCUGGUGUAGCGGUGAAAUGCGCAGAUAUCAGGAGGAACACCGGUGGCGAAGGCGGGUCUCUGGGCAGUAACUGACGCUGAGGAGCGAAAGCGUGGGGAGCGAACAGG